GCUCUGAUGGCCUAGUGGUUGGAGCGUCCACUAAGGAUGCGGGAGGUCGCGGGUUUGAACCCCGGCCUAGAAAUACCA